GACAGGAAAGGGGUUCUAUCCAUGAUCUUACAAUUCCUAAACAGCAACAGCAUCAUGGACGUAUUUGUUCCUGGCGUCAUAAGCCUGCAUACGGUAGGCAUUCAGUUAAUAGGUACUGAUUGGUCUAACAGAGGAAGCUGGGCUUGAUUAUAAAAUAAACUAGGCUAUGAAAUCAUGCCUCCUAAAAGCUCAUUAAAGGCAGCAACACGGGAUGGGGACUGUAAGGAAGUUGUCUCCCACCUGCCUCCCUCCUCAGACACACAUCAUUCCGCAGAUGUGAAAACGACCCAGACUCUGCCCGCAUGUGGCCUCCCGGACCGGGCAGUAGGGCCUUGCCCCUACCCUCAUGAAGACUGUCGGCUGUGUUACAGAACUGCUGCUCUGUCUCUGACUCCCCUCACUCCCAUGCUCUGUUGGAAACUCAAGUUGUGAAACCACAAAACACAGAAAGGAAGUGGUCAACUAUUGCACAUACUCAAGCUAUGUAGUCUCAGUUUAUUCCAUUCUUGCAGGAUCAUUGUAGGAAGGCAUAAGAGUCCUGCUUACUGGUGAGCCACUGAACACAAACUCCCUUCUCACCUCUGCCUUGGAUCCCGCCAUGCCUGAGGUCUAGGGCUAGAAGCGUUGUUUCAUCCACAUUAAUUCCGGUCUUGGGCAACGUGGCUAUUUUCUGACCUGUCUGUCUUCCCACCCUAGUGGUGAAUUCUCUUUCUGGGAUCUCAACUCCUUCUCCUGUCACCCAGCUUUUUCCGAGCAACCCCAGUCCAUCUGGCAUAUCAUUAGAAUGUUAAACCUAAAACGGUAAGCCAUUCUGUGAAUACCUUUAAGUAACAGGAUAUUAAAAUGAGACUUUUCCUGUUUUCUCAGUGCUAGCUGACAUCUUUGAGCUGAGAAAAAAAAAUAUUGUUAAAAAUGCUCAUCUAUUCUCAGGAGAUGUCAUCUGCUAAGGAGUGACCAAAAAAAUGGUCCAAUAACCCUGAAACCAUCGCUCAAAUCUUAGCUACGCAAGGGGAGACUUGUAAAUUAAUGAGGACGGCAAGGAUUUCAUGAGACAGAGCUUUCAGGCUGCUAAAAUGCUUCCUCCUCCCUUCUCAUGUGUUUUCCCCUCAUCUUACGCAAAUAAGAGGGGGCCUUCAGAGAAUUACUUGGAGAGCUGACCUAGGACCCCUAGGCUUUGGGGAACAUAGAAUGUAUUAGUGUCUAUUGCUGCUGAAACAAAUUAGCACACAUUUAACAGCUUAAAAAUAGCAAAAUUACUACCUCACAGUUCUGUAGGUUAGAAGUCCAGUGGGCGCGGCUGGUGUGUGGGCUUCAAGCCUCACAGGGCUGAAAUCAAGGUGUUGGCCAGGCUGUACUCCCUCCUAGAGGCUCUAAUGAAGCAUCUGUUUCCAGGCCUCUGCGCCUUGUUGGCGGAAUUCAGUUCAAUUUGCCUGAUGGACUGAGGUCCCUGCUUCCCUGCGGGCUGUCGGCGGGAACUGCCACUGGCUCCUUGCAGCCUCUCUCUGAUUCUUGCACAAGGGCACCUACAUCUCAGAGCCAGCGAGAGUGUGAGUGUGUGGAAUCCUUCUCACGAGGCCUCAUCUCUCUGACUUUCGUCGGGAAAUGUUCUCUGCUUUUAAAGGAUCAUGUAAUUAUUUUGAGCCUACCCGAUAAUCCAGGAUAAUCCCCUCAUCUAAAAAUCUGUUACCUUAACCACAUCUGCAAAGUCCCUGUUGCCGUGUAAUGUAAGCUAUUCACAGGUUCUGGGGAUUAGGAAAAGGACAUCUUUGGUGGGGGCCUUAUUCAGCCUACCACAUAGAGAUUAGUACCUGAAAAGCCAGCAGGUGAGAAGCUAGACAGAGCAGCCGGUGGCAGCUAAAGGAGAAAGGGGGCGAGAGCUGGAGAAGUCGCACUUCCGCCGAUGGCGCAGCAAAGGGGAUGUUGCCCUGGAGGACUCAGGGAACGGAACUGGGCUAUCAGCCGAGAAUGGGGCUCCACUCAAAAGGAGGAACCAACAGGAGACACAAGGAACCCCAGCAGGAAGAAGUCGGAGAUGGAGGAGGGGAAGUCAUAGCUGGAGGAGACGUGUGUUAGGAAGCUACAAUGGCAGCUCCCUAGUGGAGGUGUUUCGGAAAAACUCCGAAGAUUCCACUUGAGAAAAUCAUCGGCCUUCAGACAACGUCUAUGCCAGAUAAUGCUACCAAAUCACAACCUUGCCUUUCCUCCCUACUGCUGUUCUGAUGUGGGAGGACCCAAAGGCAGCAGAAGAGCCAAAGAAGAGUAGCAGAAAGGUUUAGGUGCAGUCAUCUUGGAUUUGAGUCGUGCUUGUGAAUUUUCAUGUGUUACAACAACCAGAUUAAAUUUCUUCAAGUGGAAAUAUUAAGUCAAAGAAAUUACCUAUUUCUAAUAAUUCUUACUGAAGAAGUGAAACCUAGCAGGAAGAAUUGUAUUUGCAUCAUUUGUAUGCAGCUAAGCAUUAUGUCAGGCCUCAAGGAUACAAAGAUCAAUGCAGUGUGAUUCCUGCCUUCAAGGGACCUAUCACUGUCUUGGAGAAGUAACGGUGAAAAUUAUAGUCAACAAACUACAUGACUGCUUUCCCUACUUCUGCCCUGUGGCCUUAGGACACUUAGGCAUAUCCACAGCUCUUCAAAUAAGCAAUGUGAUGUUAGCAAAAGUGCAGGGGCUCCUUGAGAACUUUCCAGGGCUAACCAGCUGCUGAGGAGUGGCCUCCAGGAAAGAGAGAAGCACUCUGAUUCAGGCAGUGAUUUACACCUAAAAUACCAACUCCAUCAUAUCUUCAGAACAAUUCUUCUAGACCUUGCAUCUAAAUAUGGAGUCAUUAACUAACAACGAACAAAACCUCUGGAUGGCCGAAGGACCUAGGCUAUACAGAAAGCUGUGAAUUACCAAUGAGAACGCAGAUUAGAUCAAAGAUGUCCCUAAGAAGCGUUGAGAUGUCACAAAGUUCUAGGAGGGGCAUGAUAAAGUAAGCAGAACACCGCAGUGGGCAUCAGAAUGCAUUCCAUUUCCAGACCUAUCUCUUACCAUCUGGAUAUCUCACUCUCAGGAAGAUCAAGUGACAAACCUGGAUUAGUCCAUUUUCACACUGCUACAAGGAACUACCUGAGACUGGGUAGUUUAUGAAGAAAAGAGGUUUAAU
rnacentral:lncRNA from 1 species